UAUACCCAAUGAGUUAUCAAAUUCUACAGAGAGGAGCCUUUUGAGAUGGAGGCCAAUGUAUUACACAUUAUUCGCUACAAGCCCAUAAAAUCACUUGUAGAGAGAGGGAGUGUCAUCGAUUUGCUGUAGACAAUCUCGACGGUCCUUGGCAGCUAUCAACAUCGGUGAUGGAGACUAUUCCACUGAUUACUUUGGAGGACAAUUUCAAAUUGGUUGAGCUCAUAGAUGAAUGGUGGAGCAUUGAAGGCACUGGCAAAGACAGUAGAGAGAGAUAAACUGAGUGGGAGAAGCCAUGAUUUGUCUGUCUUUGUCUUUACCUACUCCAACCUUGUUAGAGAGAGUAAUGGAUCAACACCUCCAUUCAUUACCCCACUUGCACUACUUU